rnacentral:rRNA from 1 species
GUAAUUGAAGAGGUUUGGAAAGACCCACCACAGAAGGUAAUAGUCCUGUAUGUUAAACGAGAAGACUUCAGAUAUGAUCCAGAGUACCACGGGACACGUGAAACCCUGUGGGAAGCAGGAGGGACCACCCUCCAAGGCUAAAUACUACCUAGUGACCGAUAGCGUAUAGUACCGUGAGGGAAAGGUGAAAAGAACCCCGGGAGGGGAGUGAAAUAGAACCUGAAACCCUGCACUUACAAGCUGUGGAAGCACAUUUCUUGUGUGACCGCGUACUUUUUGUAGAACGGGCCAACGAGUUACGUUAAGUAGCAAGGUUAAGCACUUAAGGUGUGGAGCCGUAGCGAAAGCGAGUUUUAACUGAGCGUUCAGUUACUUGACGUAGACCCGAAACCGGGCGACCUACCCAUGAGCAGGAUGAAGCGAAAGUAAAAUUUCGUGGAGGUCCGAACCCACGAGCGUUGAAAAGCUCGGGGAUGACUUGUGGGUAGCGGUGAAAUUCCAAUCGAGCCCGGAGAUAGCUGGUUCUCCCCGAAAUAGCUUUAGGGCUAGCCUCAAGGUGAGAGAUACGGAGGUAGAGCACUGAAUGUCCUAGGGGGUAUUGCACCUACCGAAGACUAUCAAACUCCGAAUGCCGUCAUCUUAUACUUGGGAGUCAGACUGUGGGUGAUAAGAUUCAUAGUCGAAAGGGCAACAGCCCAGAUCGUCAGCUAAGGUCCCUAAAUGUAAGUUAAGUGGUAAAGGAUGUGGGAUUGCACAGACAACCAGGAUGUUGGCUUAGAAGCAGCCACUCAUUCAAAGAGUGCGUAAUAGCUCACUGGUCGAGUGAUCCUGCGCCGAAGAUUUCCGGGGCUAAAACUUACUACCGAAGCUACGGCAUCAUUAUGAUGGGUAGGGGAGCUUCCCAUACGGGUUGAAGCAUGACCGUAAGGACAUGUGGACAGUAUGGGAGUGAGAAUGUUGGCAUGAGUAGCGAGAUGUGGGUGAGAAUCCCACAGGCCGUAAACCCAAGGUUUCCAGGGGAAGGUUCGUCCGCCCUGGGUUAGUCGGGACCUAAGCUGAGGCCGAAAGGCGUAGGUGAUGGACAACAGGUUGAUAUUCCUGUACUACCGAUAACCGUUUGAGAGAUGGGAUGACACAGUAGGAUAAGCUAAGCACACUGUUGGUUAUGUGUGCCCAAGCAUUGAGGCAGUCAGAGUAGGUAAAUCCGCUUUGAUAAUGCUGGGAUGUGAUGGGGAGCGAAAUUUAGUAGCGAAGUAGCUGAUUUCACACUGUCAAGAAAAGUCUCUAUCGAGGUUAAAGGUACCCGUACCGCAAACCGACACAGGUGGGUGAGGAGAGUAUCCUAAGGCCAGCGAGAGAACUGUUGUUAAGGAACUCGGCAAAAUGACCCCGUAACUUAGGGAUAAGGGGUGCCACCAUCCGGUGGCCGCAGAGAAUAGGCCCAAGCGACUGUUUACCAAAAACAUAGGUUUCUGCUAAGUCGCAAGACGAUGUAUAGGAGCUGACGCCUGCCCGGUGCUGGAAGGUUAAGGGGAUCUGUUAGAGCAAUCGAAGCAGUGAACUUAAGCCCCAGUAAACGGCGGCCGUAACUAUAACGGUCCUAAGGUAGCGAAAUUCCUUGUCGGGUAAGUUCCGACCCGCACGAAAGGCGUAACGAUUUGGGCACUGUCUCAACAACAGACUCGGUGAAAUUGUAAUUCCGGUGAAGAUGCCGGAUACCUGCGACAGGACGGAAAGACCCCAUGGAGCUUUACUGUAGCUUGACAUUGGGUCUUGGUACUACAUGUACAGGAUAGGUGGGAGGCUUUGAAACCAGGACGCCAGUUUUGGCGGAGCCAUCCUUGGGAUACCACCCUUGUAGUACUGGGACUCUAACCAUAGGCCAUGAAUCUGGUCUUGGGACACUGUCAGGUGGGCAGUUUGACUGGGGCGGUCGCCUCCCAAAAGGUAACGGAGGCGCUCAAAGGUUCUCUCAGUACGGUCGGAAAUCGUACGUAGAGUGUAAAGGCAAAAGAGAGCUUGAUUGCAAGACAUACAGGUCGAGCAAGGAUGAAAAUCGGACUUAGUGAUCCGGUGGUUCUGCGUGGAAGGGCCAUCGCUCAACGGAUAAAAGCUACCCUGGGGAUAACAGGCUUAUCUCCCCCAAGAGUCCACAUCGACGGGGAGGUUUGGCACCUCGAUGUCGGCUCAUCACAUCCUGGGGCUGUAGUAGGUCCCAAGGGUUGGGCUGUUCGCCCAUUAAAGUGGUACGCGAGCUGGGUUCAGAACGUCGUGAGACAGUUCGGUCCCUAUCCGUCGCAGGCGUAGGAAAUUUGAGAAGACCUGUCCUUAGUACGAGAGGACCGGGAUGGACGUACCUCUGGUGUACCAGUUGUCCUGCCAAGGGCAUGGCUGGGUAGCUAUGUACGGAAUGGAUAAGCGCUGAAAGCAUCUAAGCGCGAAGCCAACUUCAAGAUAAGAUUUCCCACCGCAAGGGUAAGACCCCAGAAAGACUAUCUGGUUGAUAGGUCGAAGGUGUAAGUGCAG